rnacentral:lncRNA from 1 species
UAUUUAAAAGCUCUGGUCUAAAUUGGUUCCAUAUCAAAAAUGAGAUUGUCAAAUUGGCAAACUUCCCUCCGCAAUAAUCUCUAGACUCUAGAGCAAUGAUUCUUCAACCAUCUCUAAAACCCAUGUUGUGGUAAUGAUUCUUCCUCGUGGUAAUGCUAUUAUACUAUAGUCUAUAGUCUCUCUUUUCUUUUAAUCUGUUCAAUGAUAUGGGUUUGGAUCUUGUUGAUAACUGUUGAUUAUGCUUUCCUUUG